UACGUAGGGGUCGAGCGUUGUCCGGAGUUACUGGGCGUAAAGCGCGCGCAGGCGGCGCGAUAAGACCGGCGUGAAAGCCCCCGGCUCAACCGGGGAGGGUCGUUGGUGACUGUCGCGCUUGAAGGCAGCAGGGGUGAGUGGAACUCCCGGUGUAGUGGUGAAAUGCGUAGAUAUCGCUUGGAACGCCAAAGGUGAAAACGUAGGUUGCUGGGGUUGUGCCGACGCUGAGACACGAAAGCCAGGGGAGACGAAACGGG
rnacentral:rRNA from 1 species